ensembl:lncRNA
GUGACAACAGUGUUGCUUAGAAAUGGGGAGAAGAGGGACAGUCUGGGAGAUAUUUAGCAUAUGAUAAGUCUUCAUGUAAGUAUUUAUUUUAUCCUGACAGCAAAAAUGAGGUUUCUGGAUCAGCGGCAGACCUACCUUUAUCCUAUGCCUCAUUUCAUCCUGUAGGGGUGGGGGAAUGUGAUGAAGAUAGAUACGUCACACAUAUGAAAGGAGGUCUGUGGGAGAGGAACCCCUGAAGUAGAGAUUCAACAAAGGUCAGCCAGAUCUCACUCAUCCCACCUGGGAGACAGAAGCAGCGCCGGAUGCAUCUUCUAUGCACACUCACCUGUCUUUCCAGAAGAGAGCUAUUUGUCUAGUCUCCUUAAGAUGCUGGUGAAAACUCACCACUAGGUGGCAGAAGCAAGUUUCACACAUCUGGGAUGGUUCUGCUCAUUUGAAUGACAUCUUUUUGAUGCUGGAUCAAUACUGAAAAAAAGAACACAC